GUUCUGUGUUGACAGGUCAGUUCCUGGAGCCUGCCUCAGAUUCUGUGUGUGUGUCUCUUUCUGCCCUUCCUCCACUCAAUUCUCUCUCUAAAAUAUCUUUAAAAAAUUUUUAAUAAAAAAAUGAUCCCUGGCUAGCAGCCCCUGCCGCAACUUCUCCCAAUUCCCCACUAAACGUGGCUGAAGGUAGAUUAGGAGAAAGGGUGAGCGGCCAGGCUGUCAUUUGCUCUCCCGAAGUGGAAAAGCACACACAAGGCGAAGAAAGUGAGGUGGGCCCUUGUCCUUGCCCACCGUCCGCCCUUUCCGGCAGGCCCAGGUUCAAUGCCAGAGGGAAAACUGUGUAACUGUCCCGCUGCUGUACAGGUGUUUCUUUCUAAGGUGCCUGGCCCUCUCUUCCGCGUGGUGUCCUCUUUCCCUCAUUCCAACCCACCCAGAUGUCUGUCCCAUCUAUGGACUGACCACAAUGAUCAGGGAGCUGAAGGGAUGUACCUGAUGCUUCAUAUCCUAGGGACUGGAGCCCUGACACUGAAGCCAGAUCGCAAGAAAGAAGGCUGUAUGGAGUUGAACAGCAGUGCCUGCUCAAGUUGUACGUUCUCCGAGCCCCUGGGCUUCAGAGUGCCGGAGAAAUCCAGCAAGGAGGUGAGAAGAUCCCAUUUGUACAUGGCAGAGCCGCAAAAAUCUGUUGGCAAACCUUGAAUCCAGAGGGAACUUGUCUAAUCUGCGGGUUAGAAAACAGUAAGUGGCACAGGGAGGCCUAUGAAAAAAGGGCCAAAGCUCAAGAGAAAGAGAACAAUACCCUAAAGAUCCAGAAGAUGCACGCACCUUUGAGAAUGAUUGACUCUUCGUAACAAAGUAUUAUGAAAUGUUCUGUAUCUUCACUAGGAUCUAAGAACUUAGGGCCUCUUAGAAGCAGGCGCAGAAUGCCAAGCAGCUCAACUGCAAGAGCGUGAGCAAAUGAAAAGGCAACUAGAUGCAGUGGGGGGAGCCAGGGGAGCUGGGGGCAGGAAUUAAAAUGCAAGACCUCCCUGAAGACGGUGAAACAGACACUGGGAGCUCAAGUCCGUCGUGUGCAGAAUGCACCUGAGAAGCUCUCCCAGAGAACAGGGAAAAGGUGGAGGCAGAAGAGGGAGGCAAAAAAAAUGUGCUGGUAUUUUAAGUCAAAAAAAAAAAAAAAACAUGUGCAGAGGAUGAAGAAAAGAAAUUCAAUCAACAAAUGAUGGUUGUCCAUAAAAGCCAGACACAAAUGCUGUAGGACCGAGGCCGGGAGCACACGUAGAAAUGGCAGUCUGCAAAGAUGCAUCAGUGCAAAAUCACACUCAGCUCCUUGGAAUUUCAAGUGUUGAAAGAAGUAAACAUGUUUAAAAAAAAAAUUUUACCAACAUGAAAAAUAUUUUAUGGAAGAAAGAAGAAACUUGGUCUAUACUGUUGAAUGACAAUCAAAGAGAGCAGGCUAGGAGAAGGAAGAUUCUGAUGCAGAACCAAGAAGUCCUGAGAGUUUCCUUGCCAAGUAGUGAGCCCUCCACUGCUUGUUUGGAAAAGGGGAAAAAGCACAAAAGUAAAUUCUAUAUUAAAUUGGAAGCAAACUAAAAGCUGGACUGGAUAACAUUUCAGGCAAAAUAACCAUAUAACUUGAGGUCCAAACUGGUCAUGUUUGGGAGAAGAAAGGCAACAUUAAUUACUACUGAGACAAGGGUACCCUAAUUAAAUGUAUGGUCACCCUGCUCUUGGGUUUCUUCUAACUCUUAAGCAUUAAAUGAAAUUCUACAUUCAUAAAUCUUAAGUCUUUAAUCUAUGUUUCAAUGGCUAAAUUCUUCCAACAUCUACGUUUUAAUGGCUUAACGGCUUAAUGUAAUGGUCAGACAUUCUGGUGCAUAACAACCUUUCUCUGAAAAGAUGGGGAUGGGAGAUAGAAAUGCUGAAUUUGCCUAAUAAUUGGCCCUUGGAGAAAAGUUAAUUGGAAGCCUACAAAGCAUAGGGCACUGGCAACCCCAGAAUUACUUUGCCCUGCAGUUAGCAUACCUAGAUGAUUACUAGUUGGAUAUUUGAGUGUUUCCUAAGCAUAGCUGGAAUGUGUGGCUCUGAUUUGUUUUCCAGCUGGAAAUGUUACAGAAACAGGAAGACUUUUGCUUUUGUGUGUCUUGUUGUAUCCUGCCUCUGUUUGGCAGGAGCUCUGGUCUGAUGCUCCUGUACAUCACUUCCGCUUUGCUCUGGGCUCAACAAAAGUGAUUUAGAAUGAGCUCUAGCAACAGCCAUCGAAUCCCUCCAGCAAUGGAUGGGCCCACUUACAAGUUGAUUCCAUGUGGUUUAUUGUCUAUCAAUGACUACAGGGUCUUCAGUAGGAAAGGUGUGAGAGAGAAGAGGUAGGGGGUAGGCUGUUGUAGACCCCCAUUGAUGUCCUAUGAUUUUUACGGAUUUCUUCCUCUUCUGAAUAUCCCCAUUGGUCUACCAAAAAUACCAUUGGGCUAAGUCCUCCUAUUUCUAUAAUUUCGUUAUGACAACGUGGAAAUUCUUUUUAUCUUCUUGUGUGUCCUCGGGGCUUGGCCCAGUACAUGUUAGGAGGAAUGGUGAUGUGUUAGUGAUGAUAGUGGCAAUUAAAAUGGCUAUUUUUUUUCAAGGGAGGUUAUGGUUUGCCAUUAACAGAAAGAGAAGGGCUGCCAAGAGGUGAAUUUUGAGGGAGGAGUCAGUCUAGUAAUAACCCAAAGAUGCUAUCAAAGGCAGACCAAGCCGGGGCUGCACAGCAACACUAGUGAGCAGGUGGGAGGUACUGGGCCCAUGACGGGAAAGGGAAAAAUCUAGAAAGUGGAGAAGACUCUCAAGUGGAGACUGAACAGAGCGAAAGACAAGUCAUACCUGGUUACAAAUUCUGCCUGAAGCUUGGAAAAUAUGCAGAGGGAACAAAGGUCAUCCUUGACCUAAACAGAGAACCAGGUCACAUUUCUAAAAACCAAGAGUAUGAGCUCUUUCCAAAAAGUCAUGUAUGUCCAUUAACAAGCUUAAAUUCCAAGAAAAGAGUAGAUGUUGUUGGGCAUCGUUAUUAAGCUCUAGCCGUUGGGAAGCUGGGGAGAAUAAAGUGUGCAAGUUGUCGACAAGCUAACGAUGGUAUCUUCUAUCUUUGCACUUUUAAGAAAACCAGCAUGCUUUUUUGGGUGAUUGUAACGUCAAUCCUCCAUCAAGCUCCUCACCAGAAUCAAAAGCAGAGAGAUUUCACAUCAGCAAAACUCAGAUAUUCCACGGUCACUCUAGACCACUUAAAUCAGCCUUCUCUCUGAAGCUUUCAGAAUGUCCGCCAAUAAGACCACAACACCAAAAGUUCCUGGAAUGAAGCCAAACUAUCAGUUGCAGAAUAAUGUCCAUCCCUGAACACCCCCACAAGAGAUGAACUCAAAGGAGAGAGAACAGCAGUAACCAGAGGAGAGCAUUAGGGCAGGUACAUGUUGCAAUGCCAAAGUUGCCCUUCCCAGGUGCCUAAGCACAAUUUCAUGCAGCUCAAAGUAGCCAGAUACCUCUGGAACCUGAGUACCCUGGGCAGACCGGCAGAAAGCUCCAGAAAUGGGUCCUAUAUAGCGCUCGGGCAAAGGCUGUGGAGUAUCCAAAAACUCCAGCAGGAAAGGUAAAAAUAACCUGUCAUGACAUGCUGUUGCACACAGAUGCCAUUCCAACAAACUGAACAACAACCUACACGAGAGUGUCCUCUUAGGAAAGCUCAGUGUACCCCUUGCACUAACCACAGAUGGAACUAUCCUUAGAAAGAACAUCAACAGAUAAAGAGUAUCAUUAAAUAUUGCCUUCUCUGGUACAAAGAUCACUGUAGUAGGCGUCAGGAGAUUUUGACUUUGCCACCAACUGGACAUAUGACCCUGGUUACUUUUCUCAAUUUAUAUGCCCACAUCAACAAAAUCACAGCUUCCUUCCCAGUUCCAAUUAAGUCAUGCACACAGGAGUAUUUGAGUAUUGAAUGAGAUAACUACUCUGAAAUUUAUGUGGGCAAAGAAAGUAACAUUCAAACGUAAGGUACUGUUAUAAUUUAUCUGAAGGCAGUUUUGGAGGAUAACAGUAAACUAAAUAAUGUGCUCAAAGAGGCAAAACAAAAUCCUUGCUAACGUUCCCAGACAAAACAAAUUCCGAUCAUUUGCCUUUUAAACAAUGCCUAUCACCAUGACAAGAGCCUUGCCAAUUUGUCUUCAGAACAACCCUAUUUACCACUUAAGGCUCGGGCAAUAAGGCUGGAAUGGACGAGUCCCUUUACUCUGGGCUUCCCAUCCCACCCCGCCCUCCCCAGGGCUGUAAACGGAAGUGUGUAAGUGUAACUGCCAGCAAAUACACAGACAGGAGAAGUACCAGAUUCUGGUAGACGGUUACCUCCCUCUCACCAGCUCCCACAAUCCAAGAGUUUUCUGACACUUGCAUUGUGAAGCAGUGUCAAGACAUCAAACACAUUUUUUUUUUAAUGCAGUACUGUUAUCCUGUUAUCUUCAACAGUUUUUACUCAUUUCUACUCCGCUUCCAUAAUUGAAUAGCAAAGAAAAAAUGUAUUCAUGCCUCCGUGGAUCUGGGAGAAAAAAAAAAAAAAGGCAGUUCCACUAAGGCAGCCUGCGUUUAAGCAAACCAGAGAGUGCUGAUAGAAAAUUCUAGGCCCUAGAAGAACUUGAGAAUGCAUGCGUUCUGCCUCUACAAAGACCAGCUGCUCCAAGCCAUCCAUUGGUUGGCAUAACUUGCACUGAGCUACUGGCACAAACAUUUUAGCUCUAAAAGUUUCCUUUGGUUCUAUCUUUAGGCUGUAUCACCCAUUUAAAAGACCAGGAAUCAGCCCCUAAAACUGAACUCUGCAAACUUGAAACUAACGAAUAUCCUUUUUUAAAAGCUCUCAAGAAAAUAAAAUGGAUUAGGCAGGAAAAUUUUGUAAAUGGAAACUAUUGCAUAUACAGAGUCUGGAGCAAUCCAGGACAUUUUAAACCAGAAAGCAGAUGGGAUAAGAGCAAUAUAAAUUAGUGUAACUGUAUUUUGCCAAAUGCAAAAUGACUCUAACUCCAAGCAGCACUUUUUCUCCCCAACUUGUUGAUGGCCUAUAUAUUGGUUUUUAAUUACCAGCGGGUAGAGUUGGUGAGAUGUUGGGAGUUAGAAUCCUAGAAUCUAAAGGUCUAAGGGACACCAAGUUUGGCCAAACCACCCAUGGAUUAUCAAACUAAGAAAACAAGCAAAUAAAAUACAUGCAAAAUAUUUGCGUUGGAAAUAUUUAUGGUAUAUACAAAUAUGGUAUAUAAGUCAAUUAAGAAAAACUACGCAUGUGGCAAUUUCUAAGAAAUGCCCUGCAAAGAGAAGGUAUGUUCAUAAUGAAGAGAAGGGCAAAACUUUGUAACCAGUGCUUCCUGGCCUUGGAUCUGCCAACAUGACCUCCAUCUUGUCUCUUGGACAUCUUGGCAGCAUCCCAAUGGAGGAGUCUUGGCCUCUGGGUGUCAAGUCUAAGCCACUCCUUUUUUCUUGUCUAAUUUUUUUAAUUUUUUUGAGAGACAGAGAUAAAUCAUGGGGGGGGGGGGGGAGACACACAGAAUCUGAAGCAGGCUCCAGGCUCUGAGCUGUCAGCACAGAGCCCAACACAACAUGGGGCUUGAACCCACAAACCGAGUUUGUGCUGUGCUGAAGGUGGACGCUUAACCAACUGAGUCACCCAGGCGCCCCAAGUCCAAGCCGCUCUUAAUCCUGAUUCAGUCCUCUCUAGGCCAUCAAGCCAAGCUCAGGAAGAUUUGUCCAAAUGACACUGGUUGGAGUAAAUCAACUGCAUCAUAGUAGAGCAAACUAACGAGGUAUCUAAUUUAUGAAGGAAUGAGGGAGGGAUUGACAAACUUCUCACUGCAGUACAGAGAACCCGAUUACUUCUCAAUGAAUCUGUCCCUUCUCCAAAUUCCUGCAAAGGUGCCCAGGCCUGGAGCUAUUUCCCUGAGCAGGGAUAUGAUCUGACCAGCAGCGUUCUUCAACCAGGGCAGCCUGAGGGGAAUUCAGUGCUCUAGUAAAUUCACACCGUUGACUCCCUGGGCCACUGACUAGCAAGACUUCUAUUUGGACAGAGACUCUUGCCCAGUAUCCUAAACCGUGGCUGGCUCAGGUUGUCAGAGUCCAAGUUGUUAAUGACAAGUCACUUUUAGAGGGUGGAUGAUGAUCGUGGAAUGAAGAUUUCCCCUGCACCUGCAGUCUCUCUUGCCAACCACACACCAUAGAACUGCAUGUUCAUGGUACAACGGAAGCACUACAAGGUGUUUGCUGCGUUCUUAUUUUUCUUGGACAUACAAGACCUCUAUACUCUUAUCUCUGCCACAAAGCCCUCUUCGCACCCCUUGCCCCGUCUUCGAUCUCCUGCCAGCUGCUACUCUCGGGUAGCAAAGCUCAGGAAGAAAUGAGCAUCUGGAAAUAGGUUAAUUCUGCAUGGAAGUAGAGGAUGCGAGCAGAAAUUAGAGACUGCCAACUGGAGACACGUGCUCAUUACUGCGUUUAACACACAGCCACAGCACGAUACGGCAUGAGUGAGGAAGAAGGCUCAGAGACCCACAGGGGUGACCAGGGAAGGUGCUCUCCAGCCCAGACUCAAACACAGCAGGCACCAUCGGAGGGAAUUGGGAGAGCCAAGCCAGGGAAGUGACCCUGGCUGAAUGAACUCCAGUGUUGAAGGGCGUGUGCCCUGAUACCACAGGGAAGGUGAGAGGGCUCAGAAUCGCCAGUCGCUGUAGAGCAAAGCUUCCCUUCUCAUUUCAUCUCUGGACAGCUCUGAAAAAGGACCAAAGGUCGAGUCUUCCCACGUUUCCUUUCUGGGAUUCUGAAAGACGGUGAUUCCAAUGCAACGCCCGUGUGUGCAAGCACUCAGUUGGGUGCCAAGGGAAUGCAAAGACGUGGACUCCUUUCCAUUCGUAAACCAAAUUCGUGUUCUGGGACCACUUCUGAAGCUCCGAGGGUCCAUACUCGGCCCAGUGGCCUUAGCCUGCCGUGAGCCUCUGUGCUUUGCUGCUCAACGGGCUUCUCUGCAGCUACUUCUGGAAUCAGCAGGUGCGGUCCACCCCUGGAGCGUCCAGGAAGCUGGGCAGCUGCAGACACUUCAGGUGGCUUCACUUGGCAGGAUCAUUCUUACCAUGACAAACCUGUACACUUAAAGGAGGACCAAGUGUUAGCACUGUCCUAGAAAUUCACAGUAGCAUCACAUAGGGACUAAACCUACCCCCGAAGGUUUGUAAACGACAUUUCCUGCAGAGUUGCCGUGGGGGAAAGAAAAGUGGGGGGAGGAGGGGGGCUGCAGAGAGCAAAUAUAACAACGCUCACGGACCUCCGAGGACAGGUGAGAGAAAUGGCUAAUAAAAAUUAUUACAAAUCCCUACACACAUAGAAAGUGCUUGAUAACAAACACUAAUGCUUUAAUCCCCUAUGGCUUGUCUUGUAGGCCUGAAGCUUAAGUCAAAGUUGAGCUGAAAGCGGUAAGCGAAGCCAACUUCAUUUUCUGUCCUUUGCUAGUUUCAAGCAAAGACCAAAAAAAGGCAGGAAGAAAACCCCGAGAAGUCCAUUUUUAAAUCGCUGCUUAUGUAACAGGAGCCUGUGAACCGCACCAGAAUUUAAUUGAAGGAAAAGUAACUGUAGGGGAAUUGCUUGGAGAACUGCCAGGAGGGUUUUAACAGCUGGAAGUUGAAAAGUGAUUAAUUUUGACAGCAAUAAAAGCCUCAUGUUCAUACAUAAUUAUGCUUAGAUUUGUGGACUGCUGGAAUUUUUUUUUUUUUCAAGGCACUAUUAACCUUUUGCUGUCCAAGUUGCAAUUUAGAUACUUUAAAUGAGUCCCUAUUUUUAAGCUGAGUAAUACUUGGUUUUCGUGGCUUUGACUCCUCUCCACGCAAGGAAGACUGGGCAAGAAAGUGUGGAGUAAGCUGGGUGGGUUCAAAUACUCGUCCGAGCAUUGUUAGAACGGGAUAGAAAUAAGGUCCUCUCUCGUCUUACUGCAUGCAGGAACAGUAACCAAAAAGGGUUCCAGAAAAAAGACGUUCAGAGCCAAGAAAAAAUGAGAUGAAAGUGGUGGUCCAUUGUCAACUGUAUGGCUGAGCUGAAUCCCUACCAGUAGGAGAGAGAAAAAUCUGUAAGGGGACACUACAAUGCCACAUGCAAAAAGACUGUGUAGAUCAAGAAAGUAAUGAAUUGAAUUAAACUGAGCUGUCAAACUGGCAGCGUUGCUAACUAGGUAUAAAAGUUU